rnacentral:misc_RNA from 1 species
UUUCCGUUGGUGAACCUGCGGAAGGAUCAUUAAAGUUAUAGUCCCCCGGCCCUCUGGGCUGGGGUCUUCUAUACCACCCUUUGUUUAUUACACCUUUGUUGCUUUGGCAGACCUGCCCUCGGGCUGCUGGCUCCGGCCGGCUCGCGUCUGCCAGAGGACCUAAACUCUGUUUGUAUAUGAAGUCUGAGUACUAUAUGAUAGUUAAAACUUUCAACAACGGAUCUCUUGGUUCUG